GAGAGAGUACCGUGAGGGAACGUUGAAAGACUUCAUCCUACAAGCAAUAAAAAGCAAAGUUUUCACCUUUUACCUUUUGCAUAAUGAUUUAGCUAGUCAAACCGGACAAAACGAAUUGAAGCCCGCCUCCCCGAAAUUAAGUGAGCUAUUGUAGAACAGUUGACAGAACGAACUCGUCUGUGUAGCAAAACAGUGAGAUGAUUUUACAAUAGAGGUGAAAAGCCUAUCGAACUUAAUGAUAGCUGGUUGUCCAAAAAAUGAAUUUAAGUUCAACUUUAAAUUUAAUUCAAGUACCCAUAAACAUCAUUUAAAUUUAAAUGUUACUCAAAAGAGGGACAACUCUUUUGAUAUGUAGACAAACUUUCAUAGAGGAUAAUGAAAUCAACACAAAACAUUGUAGGCCUAAAAGCAGCCAUCAAUUAAGAAAGCGUUAAAGCUACAACUU
rnacentral:ncRNA from 1 species